rnacentral:lncRNA from 1 species
AUGAACUUGAAGAUCAAGGUCAGGGAAACCAGCUUGGAUGCACCAUCACAAUAAGCACAAUGGAUAUUUGCUUGUUGUGUGAAGCUACGUGGAUCAUUGGAAGGUAAGGCUUUCAUGAGUUGAAUGGCCUUUUUGUAUUUGCUAGAUAUUCAUCAUUCACUAAAUGUGCUGCUUGUCUUAUUCUCAAGGGUUGAUUUGAAGAAGGGAUUUUGAAAUCUAUGAUUUUUGUGGAAUUUGGUGGACAACAGUUAAUAUUGGGAGGUGUUGCAUCUGAGGGUAGGUCAGGUGGACCACAUGUGGAUAGGUCUGGUGGAGAUAUUGGAGAAGCUAGGGCAAAAGGGUUAGUGGCAAAGUACCAUA